UACGGAGGAGGCAAGCGUUAUCCGGAAUUAUUGGGCGUAAAGCGUCCGUAGGUGGGUGAGGAAGUCUGCUGUUAAAGAGUGAGGCUUAACCUCAUAAGGGCAGUGGAAACUCUUCGUCUAGAGUGCGACAGGGGCAAGGGGAAUUCCUAGUGUAGCGGUGAAAUGCGUAGAGAUUAGGAAGAACACCGGUGGCGAAAGCGCCUUGCUGGGUCUGCACUGACACUGAGGGACGAAAGCUAGGGGAGCGAAUGGG
rnacentral:rRNA from 1 species